GACGAACGCUGGCGGCGUGCUUAACACAUGCAAGUCGAACGCUGAAGACCUGGCUUUUGUUGGGUUGGAUGAGUGGCGAACGGGUGAGUAACACGUGAGUAACCUGCCCUCUUCUUUGGGAUAACGCCCGGAAACGGGUGCUAAUACUGGAUAUUCACUGAUCUUCGCAUGGGGGUUGGUGGAAAGGUUUGUUCUGGUGGGGGAUGGGCUCGCGGCCUAUCAGCUUGUUGGUGGGGUGAUGGCCUACCAAGGCUUUGACGGGUAGCCGGCCUGAGAGGGUGACCGGUCACAUUGGGACUGAGAUACGGCCCAGACUCCUACGGGAGGCAGCAGUGGGGAAUAUUGCACAAUGGGCGAAAGCCUGAUGCAGCGACGCCGCGUGAGGGAUGGAGGCCUUCGGGUUGUAAACCUCUUUCGCUCAUGGUCAAGCCGCAACUGUGGGUUGUGGUGAGGGUAGUAGGUAAAGAAGCGCCGGCUAACUACGUG
rnacentral:rRNA from 1 species